GAUGAACGCUGGCGGCGUGCCUAAUACAUGCAAGUCGAGCGAACGGACGAGACGCUUGCUUCUCUGAUGUUAGCGGCGCACGGGUGAGUAACACGUGGAUAACCUACCUAUAAGACUGGGAUAAUUUCGGGAAACGGGCGCUAAUACCGGAUAAUCUUUUGAACCGCAGUGUUGAAAAGUGAAAGACGGUCUUGCUGUCACUUCUCGAUGGUUCCGCGCUGCAUUAGCUAGUUGGUACGGUAACGGCUUACCAAGGCUACGAGGCCUAGCCGACGUGACAGGGUGAUAGCCCACACUGGAGCUGGGACACGGUCCAGAGGCCUACGGGAGGCAGCAGUAGGGAAUCGGACGCAAUGGGCGGAAACCUGGCGGAGCAACGCCGCGUGUGUGAUAAAGGUCUUGCGAGCGGAAAGCUCUGUUAUUAGGUGAAAACAUAUUUGGAAUGUACUGUGCACAUCUUGACGGUACCUAGUCAGAAAGCCACGGCUAACUACGUG
rnacentral:rRNA from 1 species